GACGAACGCUGGCGGCGUGCUUAACACAUGCAAGUCGAACGGUGAAGCGCCUUCCUUUUUGGUGGGUGUGGAUGAGUGGCGAACGGGUGAGUAACACGUGAGUAACCUGCCCCCUUCUUCUGGAUAACCGCAUGACAGUGUGGCUAAUACGGGAUAUUCCGGGUCUGUCGCAUGAUGGGUCUGGGAAAGAUAUUGUUUCGGUUGGGGAUGGGCUCGCGGCGUAUUAGCUUGUUGGUGGGGUGAUGGCCUACCAAGGCGGCGAUGGGUAGCCGGCCUGAGAGGAUGGUCGACGGUCCUACAGGGGAGAAGACACGGCGAAGACUCCGACAGGAGGCAGUAGGGGGGAUUAUGGCACAAUGGGAGGAAGGAUGAAGCAGCGACGCGGGGGGGAUGAUGGAGGUCGGCUCGUAGUGCACUGCUUUCGCGAGUGAAGCAGUCCUUCCUCGUUUGUGCGCGGGUUGACGGUAGCUGGACAAGAAGCGCCGGCUAACUACGUG
rnacentral:rRNA from 1 species